rnacentral:tRNA from 1 species
GCCCCCGUAGCUCAACGGAUAGAGUAUCUGCCUUCUAAGCAGAUGAUAUAGGUUCGAUUCCUAUCGGGGGCA